UCCAUCAUCAAGACUCGCAACAUAGGGAACAACUCUAAUCAAAAUACUAAAAAACCAAUCUGGAUUAUCCCUAACAAAGAUAAAGCGAUGAACUGAGUUAGAGUUCAAUCUAACAUUAGUUCCUUUAUGCAUAGUGCAACAGCAAAGAAUGAAAAGAUGGUCUAAGAAAUAUAAAUUACCCAACAGUGCUGUCCUUCAAGCUGGGGCACAACCCUCUACUGCCCACUCC
rnacentral:lncRNA from 1 species